UACAGAGUGGGCAAGCGUUGUUCGGAAUUACUGGGCGUAAAGGGCGCGUAGGCGGUCUUGCAAGUCCCGUGUGAAAUCCCUCGGCUCAACUGAGGAACUGCACGGGAAACUGCUUGGCUUGAGUUCGGGAGAGGGAAGCGGAAUUCCGGGUGUAGCGGUGAAAUGCGUAGAUAUCCGGAGGAACACCGGUGGCGAAGGCGGCUUCCUGGACCGACACUGACGCUGAGGCGCGAAAGCUAGGGGAGCAAACGGG
rnacentral:rRNA from 1 species